GACGAACGCUGGCGGCGUGCUUAACACAUGCAAGUCGAACGGUAAGGCUCCAGCUUGCUGGGGUACACGAGUGGCGAACGGGUGAGUAACACGUGGGUGACCUGCCCUGCACUUCGGGAUAAGCCUUGGAAACUGGGUCUAAUACCGGAUAGGACUGCACCGUGAGUGUGUGGUGGAAAGUUUUUUCGGUGUGGGAUUGUCCCGCGGCCUAUCAGCUUGUUGGUGGGGUAAUGGCCUACCAAGGCGGCGACGGGUAGCCGGCCUGGGAGGGUGGACGGCCACAUUGGGACUGAGACACGGCCCAGACUCCUACGGGAGGCAGCAGUGGGGAAUAAUGCAAAAUGGGCGGAAGCCUGAUGCAGCGACGCCGGGUGGGGGAUGACGGCCUUCGGGUUGUAAACUCCUUUCACCAUCGACGAAGGGUUUCUGACGGUAGAUGGAGAAGAAGCACCGGCUAACUACGUG
rnacentral:rRNA from 1 species